ACUUCCGAGAACCAUACUCAUGGCGAUAUCGUUGCGUUAUUGGGCCUCAUAUACUGAGGGGCGCGUCAAGCUUCAGCGGCGAUCGGAAAACUCUGUGAGCAGCGAUCACGUCCUGAAGUUUGUUUUCGACGAAGAAAAUCAGUACAUUACUGGUGUAGUCCAGGCCAGCAUGCGGAAUGUGGCGUAUAAAGUUACAAUUGAAUUAGAUGAUGACACAGUCAAACGAUCGACGUGUGAAUGUGUUAUGAGAGACUACUACUGCCAUCAUGUUGCUGCUGUUCUUCUUUUUGGCUACAAAAAUGUCAGCAAGACUGACAUCAGAUGCAGUUGGCUAAAGCGCCCAAAGUCUCAACCCAAGAAAAUUGAGACAAUUGAUGAAAUGUAUCCAUCGCCAAAUCCAACAUACAGCGCUCCACUGGAUCCUCUCUCCAGAAGUUCCUGUAGAGAAACCACCAGUGCCAUUGGUUGAAGACCUUCUGCUUUCAGAAAGCUUUCUGCAUGCUGAAGACCAGAACAAUUGGCUACGUACACAACUCAAAGUCACGGAGGACAUUAUAAAUACGACAGCUGAAAAAACUAAGGGGCAGAGAAAUAAUGCUGUUUGGGCCAUUGUCAGAAAACUGAGGAUAACAGCCUCCAAUUUUGGACAAGUCUUAAAGGCUGCAAGACGGAAGAGGAUGAGCAAGUCUUUGUUGAAAAGACUGCUCUCUGCAUACAACCUAGAGAGAUGUCCUGCCAUUUCAUGGGGGAUAACGAACGAAAGAGCGGCAAUUGACAGCUACAUACUCUUAGGGGCUUCUGUUGAAGAGACAGGUAGACUCAGAUUAAUAUCUCAGAUUAAUAAAUUACUAUACAUUGUAUUAGUAGUUCUUCCAGUCAAAUGUACUUGCAGUAUGGAAUAUUUAAAGCAAUAUGAGCUGUAUUUUUUAUUAUUUUAUUUUGCUGCAGAAACCUGCUAGUAUGAUAAGUCUGCAUGUUACUUAAACUUUUAUGGUGAAUAAAAUUUGAAAAAUUCAUAAAUUUUUGUCAGAAGAAAGAUUGCUCUUAUAAGGAAUAAAUAGCAAUUCAAUUUUUGUACAGGACGACAAUAAUUCAAUUUUUUUCCAAUUAAGGCUUCUUAACGGCUUUUCACACCAAAAUACAGCUUACAGAAUUUUAAAACCAUGAUUUUUUGGUCAUUUUAGAAGAAAAACACCUUUUCGUAAAAAGAAAUUUCAACAUGAAAAUCGCAGCUCAUAUUGCUUUAAUAUAUACAAUAUUUUUAGAUGAUAAGUUGGUGUGGACUACAUGUCAAAUUGUACAUUUUUAGUUCAAAAUUUAAAAAAAUACUUAGUCUAUAAAUUUCUUAAGAAUUUUAUACUAAUUUUAGAAAUUGAUGCUCUUGACAAUAAGUCAUGUGAUCUGCCCCAGAGAAAAAAUAUCAACUUCUAUGAAAAAUAUGGUAUGUGUUUAUAAUACAUGUAAUAAUCUUUUAUUUGAAAUUUUGCAGGAGUUUGGCUACACGAGUCCGGCGCUAUAGGGGCUUCUCCUGAUGGUAUAGUCACCCAUCAACCCCAUUGUUCAGGACAUACGGGAAUACUUCAUUUCCAGACAGAGGCAGCGAAAUAUCUAGAAGCUGAGCUAAUUGAAGUAAAGUGCCCUUACUCGGCUAAAGACAUGAAGAUAAAAGAUGCAGUUGAAACAGUCCCUGGAUUUUUUCUUGAAACAGCAGACGGGUAUUUGCACCUAAAAGAAGACAGUGAUUAUUACCAUCAAAUUCAAGGGCAGCUUUACAUCACCAAGAAGAAAUGCUGUGAUUUAAUAGUAUGGACACCGACAGAUCUGGCUAUCAUUCGCAUGGUAAAGGACAUAAAUUGGUCAGCGAACAUAGAGAAACUCAUCGAUUUUUAUUUUGAAAAGUUCAUACCAGAAGUCAACAAGAAAUAAAUUGUACAGUUUGAUACCCAUCUGCUGACUGUUUCUGGUGAACUUACUUGUAAGAGUCGUAUUCACCUUUAACAUUUGUAUCAUGAACAAAAUAUUUCAUCAUAUUACUGAAAUUACAUGUUGUUUCUCUAAUAAUAUUCUUUAAACAAGUAUGCCAAAUAUUAAACUGAUUUAAUUAAACUUAU
rnacentral:misc_RNA from 1 species